rnacentral:RNase_P_RNA from 1 species
CGAGUCGGCCGGGCGGUCGCGUCGGGCCUCCCCCUCCGGGGGUGGUCCGCCGAGGAAAGUCCGGACUCCACAGGGCAGGGUGGUGGGUAACGCCCACCCGGGGUGACCCGCGGGACAGUGCCACAGAGAACAGACCGCCGGUGCCGCGCGAGCGGUGCCGGUGAGGGUGAAACGGUGGUGUAAGAGACCACCAGCGCACCGGGUGACCGGUGCGGCUCGGUAAACCCCACCCGGAGCAAGGUCAGACAGGCAGCGUUCGAGGGCGGCCCGCCCGAGCUGCCGGGUAGACCGCUGGAGGCGUGCGGCAACGCACGUCCUAGAGGGAUGACCGCCGCCCGGCCCGACCCGCGAGGGGACGGCCGGGGCACAGGAUCCGGCUUACAGGCCGGCUCGUCCA